GCCCAUGGCAGGGGGUGGAGUGAGAUGAUCUUUGAGAUCUCUUCCAACCCAAGCCACUCUGCGAUCUUCUGUGUUCAUCUUUACACUGAAUUCCACAUUCCAGCACCCCUUCUGUUCCCUUUCCUCAUUAAUUUCCUGCAGAACUUCCAGGACACAUGCUGAUAAUACCUGUUUGCCCUUUUUCCAUCUCUUACCUAGUUUUAUUUUCACCUGUUCACUUUCUCUUUAUAAUGAUUGCAGAAACUGUAGAAAAAAAAUGUUGAAAUAAUACUCUUUUGUUUAGUAUAGAGCAACUGCAACACAGGAAACCACACUGAAGGUAUAAUUAAGACUAAAAGCCAAUCCAGUAUUUCUGUGACACCUGCUGGGAGUUUAUCUCUUUUCACAGUCUUUCACCAGGUUUUCUUUCACAGCUGACAUGUUGGUUGAUAACAGAAACAGGAAAUAAAGAGGAAUGAAAGAGCCCUGUGCUGUACAGACUGCUGGCUUCUCUCACCAUGAAAUGCUCAAUAGUGAAUUAUGCAAUUGUUGAAAAGGUUUCUUUUACAGUAGAGGACAAAAAUAAAUUAUGAGUGAAAAGAAGUUAAAAUUGUUCCUCUUGAGCAACUCUCCUGCAUCAACGCUUAAUCCUUCCAUUUUCAGAUGGCUUUCCUACCACGACUGUGGUGUUCAGCUUAUUUAACCUGGAGUGGUUUGGUUGCCUUGAUACAUGAACGACUGAUCCUGCAAUCUUCAGAGAUUAAAUGUCACUUCAUCUUCACAGGUGGACUAAAAGAAAUAAAGAAGACAGGAUGCCAUUGCAGGAAGAUAUUACAAUGCAAGAGGUUGCCUCCAUCUCACUGCUGCUGAACUUCCUACGUCUUGUCCCCAGCGUGUUGUCCUUCGAGUCACAGAUGGAAGGCUGGGCUGCAAAACUGGACUUCCACACAGAAAUGUUGCAGCCAAAUAUAGAUGACCGAUUCCAGAGCACGUUGGCAACCUUCUGAUGUUAUUUCUGGAUUUGGAGAAGUAUUAUUUCCCACAGGCACUUACAUAGCUGGAUGUUGAUCAUGUUUUAGUUGGCUAAUAACAGUUUUGCACUGCUUUGUGUCCCUCACACAGCCCUGGUGACAGGCAGAGGUUUUUUUUCCAAGAGUUGGGGCAGUUAAUUGUGUAUAAUUUGUGCAAGUUGUACACUGUAUUUUUUCUAGAAGCGCUGUUUAGUAUUUCUUAUAUUGCUGAAUUGUGUUCAGCAGUAAUAACAUUGUAUGAUUGCAAUACUCCAAUAAUAAGUAAAAAGGAGUUCUUUACUAAAUCCCACCACAUGCUGUAGUUGUUUUCUAACUUUAGUUUGCAUUCUACCUCCUAAAACCCAGACUGACUGAACCCUACCUCUGCCAGCUCUUCCUUGCACAUACUGGCACACAGAGCUAAUGCAAAUGAUAGGAUCUUCCAUUUAAAUCUUCAGUGAAGAUUUUUAAUUAAAAGAGCUGUAUAAUAUUACAAUUCACAGGCUAGAUUGAUUUUAUGAUUUUUUUUUGGUGGAGUUUAAGAGAAUGGUGAGACUAUUUGAAGACUUUCUUACUUCUCUGAACUCGUUCUCCAGGUACUGGCAGGAUCUCAUCAGUUUGCUAAAGUUGCUGCUCCCAGAGACUUUAAUGGUAUACCAAAUACAUUUCUCUAUGACUUCUGUUUGCUCCUUUUAUCUAGUUUAACAUUACCCUCUCAGAGCACAUUUUUGCAAUCAUAAAUAUGCUCUUUCUGUUUACACAGUCAUGUUCUUGCAAGUGCUAACGGGCAGAGAUGUUCACUUGAGAAUUUCUUACAGAAUAAACAAUAGCAGCCAAAGGUGAGGAUGAGAUUCCUAGUGCUUCGUUAGCACUGACGUCCUGGGGAUGGCACCGAGAGCCCUGGGAACAAGCGUGUAAAAUGGGAUUCUUGGAAAGUUAACAGCAGGAAGGAUGUUCUAGGGAAUGCUGCAGCAUUGAUUCAAACUGGUGCUGUUGUCACAGGCAACAGACAAGUACCAGUGCUCACCUGGAAGAGAUCUGUACACUGAAUUAACCACAACCAUUGAGAGUGCCAGCACACCUGCAGUAACCCCUUCUCCCAUGUUGACAGCAGUCAUCUGAAAACAGUCUUUUCUAAAGCAUUUCCAUGCUGAAGGCCAUUGGGUAUUUUUUCCCAGCUGCUGGAAUGCCAUUUGCAUCUUGCUGUAUCUCCAUCUCCCUCCCUCCCCUCCUGCAGUCGUAUGAAUUUAGUUGCAUCACCAAGGAAUGAACAAGAUCUGGUGGCUUAAACCUUUUUUUUUUCUGGGGCCUUUUAGUCCUGGGAGGACUGAUCUCUGUAUGACGGGGAAUGUGUUAUAGGAUAACACUUGGAAUCAGGGCUGUCUCAGUCAGGGUUGUGAACGUGAAUUAAUACUCACCAAGCACUACGUAAAUAUUAAAAGUAUAUUAAUUUAUAUAGCACUUUAAAUACUAUAUAAAUUCAACCUCCAAUGAAAGCUGCUAUCCAAAGAUUUAUAAAGAACUUGUACAUUUUUACCUGGGAAGGAAGAAAAAUCCCUCCUUUUCUCAAACAAGGGAAAAGCCUAACUCAGAAUGUCUUGUUAUUUACUCAUGUAUUUAUUUUACACAAUAAAAUAUUUACAUUAAAUGUGUCAGUUUUCAAAAACAACUUGUUACUUAAUUUUUCAACUGAAUUUGGCCAAGUGGAAAAGGAAAUUAAAUAUGCCAGAGGACUGCAGUAAAAGAGAUAUAAGAGUUUUCAAAUUGUGUGAGAAAGAGACUAUAAUAAAUGACCAGUGGACUGGUCAGCUGUUUUAAUUAAAACGGGGCUUAUUGAUCUAUCAUAGAUUUGCCCCAUUUGCAACAUUUCGGCAAUAUUCCUAUUUCAGAAAAUAGCACUUGGAAGAGACAUUAAAGAACAUGGAAGCUGCAAAUGGAAAGGUUUUAUAACUAUGUGACAUUUUGUACUAUGGUCUUUUUCCAUCCUAUAUUAGCGCCUCACAUAUCUUCAUACAAAAAGGCAUAGAUUCUAUAGAAUCUAUAGGAUAGUCUAUCCUGGUCUGGUGGAAGGUGUCCCUGCCCAUGGCGGGGGGGGUGGAACAAGAUGAGCUUUUCCAACCCAAUCCACUGUGUGAUUCCAUUAUACUGCUUUUCUAACUUAAUUCUUAUGAGUUCACUGUUUAUUUGUGCUUAAAAAAAAUAACCCUAAAAUAUAUUGGUUUACAUCAGAUUUUUCAAGGUGUCAUGUUCUUCAAACCAGUGGGAUCUUUUAGCGGUUGCAUCUUCAGUGUGGGCAUUUGUCAUGCCUGAACUGACUGAUGUACAUUUCUAUUGGGAAAACUAAAUAAAGUACUAAAAAGGGGAUAAUAAUUGUUCUGCACCAACGUGGAAGGACUGUGGUAUCAGCAGCUUCUGUUGGUAGCUCUGAUUUGCUCCUGAAAGGCUUAUUUUAAAUUUCUGUUUAUAAGUAAUGUGGUGAAAUUCAAAUAGCCUCAAUGCAAAUCUGGCACAAAUCCCCUUGGUUUUUAAGCCAGAAAUGUGUCUUUAAAUAGUGGCUCCAACAGUGGCAGAACAUCUGCAUUGGAAGCAACUGGUGCCGUGCUCUGGUUGAAAGGAAAGGCACGGCUGUGUC